AGUGUAAUGAAUGCUCACCAUUACUGUCAUGCUGCAGGGCAGCUUAGAUCCAGAGUGGGGUUUGCAGGACUCAGGCUUGACGUUAAUAUUAGCUGUGAGGCCAUGGACUAAUUAGCUACACGUAACUAUCUUUCUUUUCAGUAAAGUGGAGGAGAUCCAAUACUUAUCUUGUCAUGCAUGUCAUGGCUGUCCCAGGGGACACAAACAGGAAAUAGUGGCAGCAGUUACGAUCCACAAUCAUCACCAUCUCUAAUUUUCAUGACAGUCUUUGAGCUCUAGGUCUAAUAUAUGGGGAAACUGAAGUUCAGGGGCAAUAAUUUCUGAGGACAAGCCAAGGCAGAGCUAUCCAUCCUGAGCAUCUUCCAGCACUAUGAAUGGCACUUAGAGGGAUGACACUUCCAGGACUGUGCCAGCUUGAUUCCAUCAUGUUCUUCAACUCAAAUAUGUGGUGAGUUUAGCAAUAAGAUC